rnacentral:rRNA from 1 species
AGAGUUUGAUCCUGGCUCAGGACGAACGCUGGCGGCGUGCUUAACACAUGCAAGUCGAACGUGAUUUUUGUGGAAAGCCCUUCGGGGACGGAAAUGAAAUGAAAGUGGCGAACGGGUGAGUAACACGUGAGCAACCUACCUUACACAGGGGGAUAGCCGUUGGAAACGACGAUUAAUACCGCAUGAGACCACAGAAUCGCAUGAUAUAGGGGUCAAAGAUUUAUCGGUGUAAGAAGGGCUCGCGUCUGAUUAGCUAGUUGGAAGGGUAAAGGCCUACCAAGGCAACGAUCAGUAGCCGGUCUGAGAGGAUGAACGGCCACAUUGGAACUGAGACACGGUCCAAACUCCUACGGGAGGCAGCAGUGGGGAAUAUUGCACAAUGGGGGGAACCCUGAUGCAGCGACGCCGCGUGAGCGAAGAAGGUUUUCGAAUCGUAAAGCUCUGUCCUAUGAGAAGAUAAUGACGGUAUCAUAGGAGGAAGCCCCGGCUAAAUACGUGCCAGCAGCCGCGGU